ACCCAGUUGAAUAUUCCCAAAUAGGACGAAACACGUGUCCUGGAU
rfam:Schistosoma curassoni strain Dakar, Senegal genome assembly, scaffold: SCTD_scaffold0005439